rnacentral:rRNA from 1 species
UACGUAGGGUGCGAGCGUUAAUCGGAAUUACUGGGCGUAAAGCGUGCGCAGGCGGUUUGGUAAGACAGAUGUGAAAUCCCCGGGCUCAACCUGGGAAUUGCAUUUGUGACUGCCCGGCUGGAAUCUGGCAGAGGGGGGUAGAAUUCCACGUGUAGCAGUGAAAUGCGUAGAGAUGUGGAGGAAUACCGAUGGCGAAGGCAGCCCCCUGGGCCAAGAUUGACGCUCAUGCACGAAAGCGUGGGGAGCAAACAGG